GAAUGAGGAACUAAAAUAGUUAGUGACCAUGCUGAGUAGGAAAUUGCUUGAGGUUGAGGAAAUAGUUAGUUGGUUAGUUGAUUAGGAAUGAAGGACAAAAGGAUGGCUUAGACCCAUUGUUUGUUUUCCUCUAUUUAACAAAAGAUGUGGUCAGUAGUGAUUAGCAAGAUCAUUGCAUGAUCUAAACAGCUAUUAUAUGAUACUAAAUUAUUGUUAAAUUAAGGUGGGGAUAAUAAAUACAUCAGUUUAGGUAGUUAAAGGGUUGUUUUGCACCAAUUGAAACAUGGGGGAUGAAUGUCACACUUUUGCAAUAGUUCAGAGAUAACAAAUACACUUUUUUCUUAAUAUUAUAUAUAGAUAUUUGGAUCUCUAAAUUAAUAUAUAUCAAGUGAGAGUAUUCAAGAAUAUUUGAAUAAACAUAUUUCUCUGAACCAUAUAUCUUGCUUAGACUUCAAUAGUUUAUACUACAUUGAACAAUGCAUAAAUUUCAUGACCAACAAAAACAUAUCCGAAAGCGAAGAGCAACUGCAAUUACUUGGGCAUUAUGCCAUUUCAAGAUUGUGCAAAGGUAAUAAAGCGUGCCAGUUGACACUCUAAAAAUCCUUACCCUACCGAGAAAAUUCUGGAAUGUUAUUUGAAUCAAAUAACUAUAUAAUUCUUACAAGAUAACAUAAAAAUAUUAUAGAGGUUGUUACUUUUAAUGAUGUCUCUAGACAAAAGAUUCAAUAUAUAGGAGAUAUUUUUAUUGCUACUUUAGUGUAUAUGUAUAAAUAUGAUUAUACAAGGGUAUUAGUAAAUCUGACAUUUAGUGAGGUAAACUAUAGUAUGAGUGAGCCCAUGACAUAUGUUGAGAUGUAUCGCAUCAUGUAAAGUUAGAAAGAUUAUAUAAACUCUUACAUUGCAAUGUAUAUCGAGACUAUGUGCUUCUAUGUGUUUAACAUUGCUAGUUUAUCAAUAGAUAGUUAAUAAACUUUAUUUUCAUUUGAAUGUUUAUAAGUUUGAUUGGAAAUAAUGUAGUAUAGUGAUAUAUGUUUUGGAACGAAACAUAUAUAUUAUGUGCAUCCAUUUCUAAAAUCCUGUGUGCGCGAGAGGUUUCAUCCUUGUUUUCAGCCAAUCCUGUGGGUCAAAGCGAGCACGAUACUGUGCUCCAAAUCCAUGAAUGUUUGAGCCAUUGCACUGCUAAUCAAAGCAUACCCUAUCUCCAAUUAUCGGUAUAAUCAUAGUCCAAUCAUAAACCUAGAUAACUUAUUGUAAUGAUAUGAGAUUUAAAUUGUGAAUAAAUUUAAUUUGGAGUUCAUUUGACAAAUGACUAAUCUAAGGUGCAAUAACAUUAUUCCUAGUAAGGCAUAAGACUAUUAUCUUCUCAAUUGUGCAUCUCCAGUUCUACUCGAUUUCGUGGAGUUCAACCAAUCUCAUGGCUUCAGCUUUCCUUGUCUAUGCACACUCACAAUUUGUGAAGGGUCUUUCAUGGUUCACAAAAUUUUCCAAAAUUAUCCCAACCAUGACCAUGAAAUAGAUUAAAGAUAAAAAAUUAAUGAUUCAAUUCAUCUGUAGCAAUCACUGUUAGUGCGAUAUAGGCCCCAUUUGGUAGCUCCGGCUCCUGCCAAAAUGGUUCCGGAUCCGGCUCCUUUGGUGGAGUGGCUUUUCUAGUGGAGCUGAAGCUGUUUUGCAAAACGUUUGGUAAAACAGCUUCUCAAUGGCAAUAUGUGUAAUUUUUGAUCACUUAAUACCUGGAGAGAGAGAGAGGAGAAGCUGGUGAAGAUACUUUUUUGUCUCCUCCUCUCUAGUGUAAGCCGUUUUGCGGCUUCUUCUCAGCUUUUGAUGGUGGAAUUUCCCCUUUGGUAGGGCUUAACAAAAAGCUGGUGGAGAAGCACUUUAAGAAACCUUACCAAAUGGGCCAUAGAUAGAUGUGUUUUUUGCAAUGUUCCCACCCAGUUCAGUGUGGGAUCGUAGCCACCUGCCUGUUCUGUUAUAUUCGACAUGCGAAACAUACAUGUGGUGUGCAGGGUAGAGAAAGCUAAAUUCUUAGAUUGAUCGAGCUGAAUUCAUGAUAACCAACCCUUAAUUAGUUUCGUGUAGUGAAUUCAUGAUACUACUCGUGCUGCUGAAAACCCGCCACUAUCUAGGGACGAAAAAGGCCUAGUUAUUAUUCAGAAAAAGAAACCCAUCUACACAAAAGAAAAAUGAUUCCAUCCUAAAUAUUUUAGUGCAGUCAAAUUAAAACAAAUAGUGGGGAGGAUUGUUUGAGAUACAUGCGACAUUCCUGUUGGCCAUUCUUCUCCGCCACCGGCAUCCAACCGUUGCUUUUGCCGUCGUGCCAUAGCACCCAUUACCUAACCUCGUCAUCUCGGGCACACACUUCACUAACCAAGUUGCCUAUGAGCCCUUUCCACCAACAGUCGACCGCUGGCGCCUUCGCUGCCUUGCCUCACCGCCUACCACCUACCACCGCCAUCAUUCGAGCUGCUACCCAUGGGCCUCCCUUCUAAGCCCAGAGCUCCUAAAAUCCAACGUAACUGUCUUCUCUUCUUCCACAUCGCCACAAAAUCGAGCACUUGGAGUGAGUGAUAGUGGAAUUGGAAUUCUACCAAAGGAACUGUGAUGGUUAGAGAAACACAUCAGUAGAACAAUGGAUGCUUGCAGUGGAGGGUGGAAUCGAAGAACCCAACCACAUUGGUACCUAAGAUGAUGGAUCCACAUAUUAAAAAAAUUUAUCUGAAAUGGAAAAUUGUUUUCUCUACUUCCCUUACAAGCCUUCUCUCACUGACCACUGGGACCCACCCAAGUAGUCGUACGGACAUUGCCUCAAUCUUAAACCUCUCUACUUUCCCCGCCUCCUCUCAGGGGAGUGUGAGAAACGCUAGCCUCCAGCCACACCUCGACGGCUCCUCCGCUGCUGUCCACCCAAUCGCUUCCCCACCACGUCGGCCCCCGUCGCUGAAAGGGAUCAACAGCAGAAAAUCCUACAUCGUCACCGUAGAGCAAGGAGGCCAGUGCUUCUACCUCCACACUGUAUGCGCUCAACACUAUCCGCUGACAACAUCCGGCUAGCGUCCAGCGCGCUCUUGGGUCCAAGCUCGCGUGCGUCCAUGGAUGCAGGCAAGCUACUUUGGUGGUGUCGCCUUUCAUCUUCAUCCCCAACGUCCGCCUCCGCCUCAUCCCCGCACGCGCUCACCACCCUCCGACGGUGCCAUAUCCAGCCCGCGUCUGACAUGGUCUCCAGUUUGGGCUCGCGCGUGUCCAUGGACGUAGGCAAGCUCCUUCGGCAGCCCUGCCUUUCGUCCACGUCCCUGGCGUCCGCCUCCACGUCCACCUCCAAGAAGAAGCAGACCAAAUACUAAAAACCCCAACCUUUGCAUCCUAGUUUGCUAAAGAAAAGAAAGAUUCUAGCUUUUGAUGCGCGCAAUGCAACUAGAACGAUAUGUUCGCCAUCUUCUUGUUUUCCUAAAAUUUUAGGACUAGAGGAUGCCCGGCCCAUGAGCUAUUAUAGUAAAUCCUGGAGCUUUGGAACCAGAUAAUCUUGCCAUUAUGGACAAGAUCUUCUUAAUCAGUGAGACCAAAAUUUUACUUUUUUAUUUGUGUUCCACUCUUUGCAUUCUUUCAGCACCGCUUAUGUUCCGCAUAAUUUGUCUCAAAUUCCCUGCAACCAGUAAAAGUUGUAUGCAGAUAGAUUUGGGAUGCAGAGGUGACAGGAUAGUUUCCUAGUUCUUGUGAAGAUGCAUACUAACUGGACCUAAUUCUCUUUUCCCAGUUCUCUCAAAUAGUCGACCUACUGGCAAUCCUAUCUAUCUUCCAGAAGGGAGUAACUUAUCUAUCUUCCACUUUGAGAUUCGUGCAAGAAAAAAUAAUGAUUAUACAGUUGAGGCUGACAUCAGCGUGCUAGUUUUGUUACCAAGGGGUAUAUUUUCUAGUUAUGCUUAGUACUACUACCAUUAAUUUUUUAUAUGUUUUUUAGAAUCUUUUCUCCAUAAAUAUUUUUAUUAAAACCUCAUUAUGUUGCACUUAGUGCAUGAAAAGAGGGCAGUCACUACAUCAUAUUCUCAUAUUAUCAAGAAGGGAACCAAUCAAAUUUGUUUGUCCGAGUGAGGAAAGCAGCCCAUUAUAAGUUUUACUAAUCAUUCCGAUGUUUGUUUUAAAGCAAUGUCCAUUUCGUCCCUCUAACAUGUCUUUAAAUUUGAACCCCCUGCCCACUAACUCGAAGUCAAGAAUCACAGACACCUUAUCUUUCAAAAUGGUAGCCGUGCAGCAUGUUUUCUAUUGACAUGUCAACCGUUGUAAACAAAGUAAACAAUAAUUUAGAAAGAAUAGCACUGUCAUCAGAAGAGGAAUGAAGAACAAAAGGAUGACCUAGCAGUAUGGACCCCUUGUUUGUUGUCUUCUAUUUUUAUGGUGUAGGAUGACAUGUAGGCAGAAAAAAAGUUAUGUGGGCCCACAUAUCAAACCAGCUUAAGCGUGUAAAUUGUAAAAUGCAUUGUAUACUGAUAUUUCCAGGGUGCUUGUUUUGGGGUUUGAGAACCAAAAUAGACUUUACCCUACUUUAAUAGAAUUAACUCUUCAUUAUUUUUAGCGUAAAUUAACUCUUACACUAGAAUCUGACACAAUUAUGUUUGUUUUUGCUUAACUACAGUCCUCUCCCAAAGCAGUGCCAUGGAAAUGUUAUGGUAAUGAAAUAUGACUUCUCACAUGUUCUUAUUAGCCAAUAAUUCCUUUUUCAAGAUAACUCAGCAAAAUAUCUUUUUGCAUAUAUGACGUAGAUCAAUAUUAAGAAGGGGCAUCAAGUGCUAAUAGUGUAUGAGAAGGUUAUUUUUGGGGUAGGCUCGCAUUAUGCUAGAGUUAACCAUAGAGGAUUAAGAAUUCAAUAUUGCAUUGCCCGCCCCUUUGAGAAAGCUGAUGAAGCAAGACGCAUAUAUAGUUGAUUGAUCAGAUGUAAACACCCUAAUAUUCUCCACCCUCUUGGUUUUUGGAUAUCAGAUCCAAAAGUGAAAUGGGGUAAGCAAGAGAUGGAGGGGCAAAUUGCUGAUGAGAACUAGAAGGCUAAGAUUGUUGAGGAGUGUCGUUCAAAGAGUGAUCGAGAUAAAAGGGAGGAGAGGAAGAAGGUUAUUGAAGCAUUCAUUACUUUUCCUCUCAUUGAUGGUUCCCUGAUUGAUGUGCCAAGAAAAGAUAUAUUUGUGGUAGAAAAGGAUGACAAACAAUCUACUGCUUGCAGUUUCACAUUCGAAGGCUCCAAAGUAUUUUGGUAAGCAACUAUAAUCACGAGUACAUGUUAUAUAGUAAAACGGAUUACCCCUUGUUUGGUUCUUAUGUUUUGUACUGAAUAUUCCCACUAAUAUGCUCAUCUAAUCGAUUUCACAAUGAUAUUUUUGGCGCCGUGAAGCAUCUAAAUGGUAUGUAUGAGCAGGUUCCCGGAACUAGUGGUGAAUCUUCUUCUACCCCGGAACAACCAUUCUCCCUAUGCUUGGUGAAAUCUAACCCUAGAAGAAUCGUCUAUAACAAACUAACAGAUGGACAGUAUAAUGUUUCGUUAUGGGUGCACUUCUUCACCUAAGAUCAAGAGCGGAAAAAAUACAAAAGAUGUAUCUGCCUCAUGAAUACAAAUUUGGAUGAAAUAUGUAAUAUUAACUAAAUCUAUAAUCUUCUAUACAAUUGUGGAACACUACGUAAAGUUUGUUAGAAUACAAUUUUAUAUUUCAUAUGUUAAACAAAAUAGAUACAUUCCAUUUAAUAUUCACUCCAACUAUUGUUCCUGCAUUUGGCUUUUCCUUAUGCAUUUGUAGUCAUUAAUCUAGAUAGAUGAAGAUGUACAACACGUUUCUAUCAUAAAUAUUUUUAUGUAUUCUAAUUAUUUUUUUCAAAAUAGGAUUAUGUUUUUAAUCUAGCUAUGCAGUUGUGCUGAUAUUCUACUAGUAUAAUAUUUAGGUAAUCUACCUAUUUAUACUAUAUUGAACAAUGCAUAAAUGUCAUGACCAACAAAAGCAUAUACGAAAGUGAAGAGCAACUGCAAUUACUUAUGCAUUGUGCCAUUUCAAGAUUGUGCAAAGGUAAUAAAGCAUGCCAAUGGACACUAUAAAAAUCUUUACGCUACUAAGAAAAUUCUAGAAUGUUAUAUGAAUCUAAUAACUAUAUAAUUCUUGCAAGAUAAUAUAAAAAUCUUGUUACUUUUAGAGAUGUCUCUAGAUAAAAGAUUCAAUAUAUAGGAGAUAUUUUUAUUGCUACAUUAGUGUGUAUGUAUAAAUAUGAUUAUAUGAGGGUAUUAGUAAAUGUGACAUUUAGUGAGGUAAACUAUAGUGUGAGUGAGCCCAUGAUAUAUGUUGAGAUGUAUCGCGUCAUGUAAAGUUAGAAAUAUUACAUAAACUCUUACAUUGCAUUGUAUAUUGAGACUAUAUGCUUCUAUGUGUUUAACGUUGUUAGUGAUAGUUAAUAAAACUACAUUGCAAAGUUAGAAAUAUUUUUAUGUAUUCUAAUUAUUUUUUUUCAAAAUAGGAUUGUGUUUUGAAUCCAGCUGUGCAGUUGUGCCGAUAUUCAACUAGUAUAACAUUUAGGUAAUCUACCUAUUUAUGCUUCUAAGACUUCCGGUAGACAUCUUUAUUUUAGGAAAUAAAUGUCCCUUACUAAACAACAUGAGGAUACGUGUAUAUUCUGAAUAAUUCUUCUAUUUUUUUUUGUAACAUAUCGCAUGUCAGAAUUACAACAGAUCCAAAAGCCAUUGAGAUUUGAUCAGCUAACUGGGACACUGUUGGUACAUUCUUGAGAAGCCUUUGGAAGAGCUUUGAUGUUCAACCGAAUGAGGAACUGAAAUAGUUAGUGACCAUGCUGAGUAGGAAAUUGCUUAAGGUUGAGGAAAUAGUUAGUUGGUUAGUUGAUUAGGAAUGAAGGACGAAAGGAUGGCUUAGACCCAUUGUUUGUUUUCUUCUAUUUAAUAAAAGAUGUGGCUAAGUAGUGAUUAGCAAGAUGAUUGCAUGAUCUAAAUAGCUAUUAUAUGAUACUAAAUUAUUGUUAAAUUAAGGUGGGGAUAAUAAAUACAUCAGUUUAGGUAGUUAAAGGGUUGGUUUGCACCAAUUGAAACAUGGGGGAUGAAUGUCACACUUUUGCAAUAGUUCAGAGAUAAAAAAUAUACUUUUUCCUUAAUAUUAUAUAUAGAUAUUUGGAUCUCUAAAUUCAUAUAUAUCAAGUGAGAGCAUUCAAGACUAUUUGAAUAAACAUAUUUCUUUGAACCAUAUAUCUUGUUUAGACUUCAAUAGUUUAUACUACAUUGAACAAUGCAUAAAUGUCAUGACCAACAAAAACAUAUAUGAAAGCGAAGAGCAACUGCAAUUACUUAGGCAUUAUGCCAUUUCAAGAUUGUGCAAAGGUAAUAAAACGUGCUAAUGGACACUCUAAAAAUCCUUACCCUACCGAGAAAAUUCUAGAAUAUUAUUUGAAUCAAAUAACUAUAUAAUUUGGUGAAGGCUCUUUCAUGGUUCACAAAAUUUCCCAAAAUUAUCC
rnacentral:lncRNA from 1 species